AUGUCACGCCAAAGAACUUAACGGUGGUUUCCUAGAGGGACGACGGGGAAGCGUGGUCCCGGCUUCUUGUUUGGGCGCUCAAGGCUCGAUGGUUCUGCCUGCUGCCUUCUUUGACAGCAGACUCCAAGUUUGUGAAGAGGGGCCAAAGGUGGUCAUUAGAGUGGAUAAUAUAGCCAUGAACACCUCUAUACUCACAAAUUCUGAGCUAUUCUCUUGUCACAACUGUUCAACUGAACUACUGUUCAAUGAAAGCUACAGCAAAGCACUGGAUUCACAUCAGUGUGUUUUUCUAUAGAAUCUGCCUCCACAGUCAACAAAUACCUGGAAUGAACAGGUACAAUCCUGUGUCAGGAUAAGAUCAGCCACACACCUGACUGUUGGAAGGAACUACCAAGUAUACAACCCAAGCGAGAGUAGGUACGCUGCUGACAAGAGAUGCAGGCCACUUCUGUUUAUGGAAAGCCUGAACUGCAGGCAUGAGACCUGCUUUUGAUUAGAAGUAACCACGCCGGCGUUCUUCAGUCUGAGCAAGUCUUUUUUUUGUUUGACUACCCCAUCUCCCUGUGGGCAGAAUACAUCAAUCCACCCUCGUAUUAACCCGACCAUGCGAAAAACUGACAAACACGUACU